rnacentral:lncRNA from 1 species
CUUGGAUAGCUGAUACAUGAGACUAAAAUAGAAUAGAAUGCCAUGAGGAAAACAUCAGGAAAAUUCUUGACAUUUGCCCUCUCAUAUUUGCGGUGAUCAUGUUGUGACAUCAAAUUUCGCCCUAACACUAACAGAGAAAAAUGUUUCUUCAAGCUGACAUUGUUACUUUUCAAUUGUUGGUAACUCUUUUGGCAUUAAAUAUUCUUCUCCUCUUCAUCCAUCCUACAGAAAAUGUCCUCUUUUCAGGACUUCUUCUCUUUCUCCCUUUACUAACUACCUGGGGAAAAUAGUAAAGAUUAUUUUAACCUGAAUCCAUUACAUUGCAGACUCUUCGAAGUCUCGAGGUAUGACAUGGAAAGGACUUUCUACCUGGGCAAUUUCUCAUAUUCCAGUGUAUAAAGUCUUUCAAAGCUCUGUCCUUGUUUCAGCUGUAUCCAGGGAGCACAAGGCAAGAGAAUCUUGCCUAGACAGAGACUGUGUAUACGUGGGUGGUGGUAAUAAUAAAAUGAGAAGACACAUGAGGGUACAUAAUUAGAAUUACAAAUCAGCUUCCCAUCAUCACUCAGGCACAUUGAUAAACUUAAACUCUGGAAGUUCUGAAUGACUAAGAGGAGAGAAUUACUCUUUACAUGUCCUGGAGAGCCAUCAGAUAAACCUUGAACCAUUCUUUAAAAGAUGGGAAAUUAAAAAAAAAAAAAAGAUGGGAAAUAUUUGAACAUAGAAAAGAGAUAACAACAGGGGCACCUGAGUGGCUCAGUGGUUAAGCAUCAGCCUUUAGCUCAGGUCAUGAUCCUGGGGUCCUGGGGAUCAAGUCCCACAUCGGGCUCCCCACGGGGAACCUGCUUCUCCC